rnacentral:rRNA from 1 species
UCGGGCGCGCGGCGCGAACUGUGCAUGCGCGAAAGCGCGACACGGGGAGCCUGAGUGCCUUGACUUUUUGUCAAGGCUUUUCUGAUGUCUAAAAAGCAUCAGGAAUAAGGGCUGGGCAAGACGGGUGCCAGCCGCCGCGGUAACACCCGCAGCUCGAGUGGUGAUCACUUUUAUUGAGUCUAAAGCGUCCGUAACCGGUCUUAUAAAUCUUCAGAUAAAUUCUUCCGCUUAACGGAAGAACUUCUGAAGAGACUGUAAGACUUGGGACCGGGUGAGGUUGAAUGUACUUUCAGGGUAGGGGUAAAAUCCUGUAAUCCUGAAAGGACGACCGGUGGCGAAAGCGUUCAACUAGAACGGAUCCGACGGUGAGGGACGAAGGCUAGGGGAGCAAACCGGAUUAGAUACCCGGGUAGUCCUAGCUGUAAACGCUGCCCACUUGGUGUUGCUUCUCCGUUGAGGGGGGGCAGUGCCGUAUCGAAGGUGUUAAGUGGGUCACUUGGGGAGUACGGCCGCAAGGCUGAAACUUAAAGGAAUUGGCGGGGGAGCACCGCAACGGGAGGAGCGUGCGGUUUAAUUGGAUUCAACGCCGGAAAAACUCACCGGGAGCGACCUUCGGAUGAGGGUCAACCUGACGAAUUUACCCCGAUAUAAGGAGAGGUGGUGCAUGGCCCUCCUCAGCUCGUCCCGUAGAGCUUGAACUGUUGUCUAAAAUUCAAUCGUCAAC